CCUACGGGCGACAGCAGUGGGGAAUAUUGCACAAUGGGGGAAACCCUGAUGCAGCGACGCCGCGUGAGUGAAGAAGUAUCUCGGUACGUAAAGCUCUAUCAGCAGGGAAGAAAAUGACGGUACCUGACUAAGAAGCCCCGGCUAACUACGUGCCAGCAGCCGCGGUAAUACGUAGGGGGCAAGCGUUAUCCGGAUUUACUGGGUGUAAAGGGAGCGUAGACGGCAGCACAAGUCUGGAGUGAAAUCCCGGGGCUUAACCCCGGAACUGCUUUGGAAACUGUGCGGCUGGAGCGCAGGAGGGGUAAGCGGAAUUCCUGGUGUAGCGGUGAAAUGCGUAGAUAUUAGGAGGAACACCGGUGGCGAAGGCGGCUUACUGGACUGUAACUGACGUUGAGGCUCGAAAGCGUGGGGAGCAAACAGGAUUAGAUACCCCUGUAGUC
rnacentral:rRNA from 1 species